AAAUCUUCAAAUAUGAUUAAACGUAUGCCGGCGCCUGGUUCUCUCGAAGAAACUGACCUUUGCGCUCGUGAGCUGAUCAGCUGAAAUAAUUUCGGUUUCUUGGCUAUGUUGAGCGUCGCGUUGUGCCAGUUUUGAUAUCUGGUGUAGCGCGGGUCGUCCAACGCCGCCUUCUGCCACGGUAAGCAUCCAGUCAGACAGACAAAUAGGACAAUGCCGAACUGCCAGACAUCGUGCGACGUGAGAGCUCUGAAAACGUCAAACUGUCGAUCUGCAAUACCUCGGGUGGCGAGUAUGGCAGCCACUCGUUGUGCCGACGCACCACCGUGUUCACCCUUCUGGUCUCACCGAAGUCGCACAGUUUGAUCCGCGAGAAAUCGCUUCUGAACACGAGAAUAUUGUCGAGCUUGAUGUCGCGGUGCACCAACUCGCGACUGUGAAUAUGAUGAACCGCUGCAGCCAAUUGUCUGACUACCCUUUUUGCGUGAAGCUCGCCGAGCCCAGUCUCCGUUACGUUGGACGUUAAAUCUCCUGAAAUGAUGGGUCGUAUACGGUGUAAUAUCGUAA
rnacentral:misc_RNA from 1 species